rnacentral:rRNA from 1 species
GAACCGUGGUAGGGGGGCUGCCUCCAAAAGUUAGCGGCGGACGGGUGAGUAACACGUGGGCAACCUGCCUAUAAGACUGGGAUAACUUCGGGAAACCGGAGCUAAUACCGGAUAACAUAUGAGACCACAUGGUCUCAUAUUAAAAGAUGGCUUUUAGCUAUCACUUAUAGAUGGGCCCGCGGCGCAUUAGCUAGUUGGUGAGGUAAUGGCUCACCAAGGCGACGAUGCGUAGCCGACCUGAGAGGGUGAUCGGCCACACUGGGACUGAGACACGGCCCAGACUCCUACGGGAGGCAGCAGUAGGGAAUCUUCCGCAAUGGACGAAAGUCUGACGGAGCAACGCCGCGUGAGCGAAGAAGGUCUUCGGAUCGUAAAGCUCUGUUGUUAGGGAAGAACAAGUACCGUUCAAAUAGGGCGGUACCUUGACGGUACCUAACCAGAAAGCCACGGCUAACUACGUGCCAGCAGCCGCGGUAAUACGUAGGUGGCAAGCGUUAUCCGGAAUUAUUGGGCGUAAAGCGCGCGCAGGCGGUCCUUUAAGUCUGAUGUGAAAGCCCACGGCUCAACCGUGGAGGGUCAUUGGAAACUGGGGGACUUUGAGUGCAUAAAAGGAGAGCGGAAUUCCCACGUGUAGCGGUGAAAUGCGUAGAAGAUGUGGGAGGAACCCCAGUU